GAAUUUUAAUGAAGAGUUUGGUUGUAGCUGGUCCAUUUAUUUGGGCAUGUGCACACCUUCCUCUUUCAUCCACACACACCUGUGAACCUGUGAGACAGAUGGGGAAUUUAUUUGUUGUUUUUUGCAAUACAAAGACAACAAAUCAUUGGACCCUCUGUCUACUCAACUCAUAUAAACUCAAUUAAUUUUAAAAUGAAUGUAAUGGAUGUAACACAUCUAAAUACUAAGUUUCAACAACGGAUCUCUUGGCUCU
rnacentral:misc_RNA from 1 species